rnacentral:rRNA from 1 species
UACAGAGGGUGCGAGCGUUGUCCGGAAUUAUUGGGCGUAAAGCGCGCGCAGGCGGUCUUUUAAGUCUGGUGUAUAAACCUAAGGCUCAACCUUGGGAGGCACUGGAAACUGGGGGACUUGAGUGCAGAAGAGGAGAGUGGAAUUCCACGUGUAGCGGUGAAAUGCGUAGAGAUGUGGAGGAACACCAGUGGCGAAGGCGACUCUCUGGUCUGUAACUGACGCUGAGGCGCGAAAGCGUGGGGAGCGAACAGG